rnacentral:rRNA from 1 species
AGAGUUUGAUCAUGGCUCAGAUUGAACGCUGGCGGCAGGCCUAACACAUGCAAGUCGAGCGGUAGCACAGAGAGCUUGCUCUCGGGUGACGAGCGGCGGACGGGUGAGUAAUGUCUGGGAAACUGCCUGAUGGAGGGGGAUAACUACUGGAAACGGUAGCUAAUACCGCAUAACGUCGCAAGACCAAAGAGGGGGACCUUCGGGCCUCUUGCCAUCAGAUGUGCCCAGAUGGGAUUAGCUAGUAGGUGGGGUAACGGCUCACCUAGGCGACGAUCCCUAGCUGGUCUGAGAGGAUGACCAGCCACACUGGAACUGAGACACGGUCCAGACUCCUACGGGAGGCAGCAGUGGGGAAUAUUGCACAAUGGGCGCAAGCCUGAUGCAGCCAUGCCGCGUGUAUGAAGAAGGCCUUCGGGUUGUAAAGUACUUUCAGCGGGGAGGAAGGUGUUGAGGUUAAUAACCUCAGCAAUUGACGUUACCCGCAGAAGAAGCACCGGCUAACUCCGUGCCAGCAGCCGCGGUAAUACGGAGGGUGCAAGCGUUAAUCGGAAUUACUGGGCGUAAAGCGCACGCAGGCGGUCUGUCAAGUCGGAUGUGAAAUCCCCGGGCUCAACCUGGGAACUGCAUUCGAAACUGGCAGGCUAGAGUCUUGUAGAGGGGGGUAGAAUUCCAGGUGUAGCGGUGAAAUGCGUAGAGAUCUGGAGGAAUACCGGUGGCGAAGGCGGCCCCCUGGACAAAGACUGACGCUCAGGUGCGAAAGCGUGGGGAGCAAACAGGAUUAGAUACCCUGGUAGUCCACGCCGUAAACGAUGUCGACUUGGAGGUUGUGCCCUUGAGGCGUGGCUUCCGGAGCUAACGCGUUAAGUCGACCGCCUGGGGAGUACGGCCGCAAGGUUAAAACUCAAAUGAAUUGACGGGGGCCCGCACAAGCGGUGGAGCAUGUGGUUUAAUUCGAUGCAACGCGAAGAACCUUACCUACUCUUGACAUCCAGAGAACUUUCCAGAGAUGGAUUGGUGCCUUCGGGAACUCUGAGACAGGUGCUGCAUGGCUGUCGUCAGCUCGUGUUGUGAAAUGUUGGGUUAAGUCCCGCAACGAGCGCAACCCUUAUCCUUUGUUGCCAGCGGUUAGGCCGGGAACUCAAAGGAGACUGCCAGUGAUAAACUGGAGGAAGGUGGGGAUGACGUCAAGUCAUCAUGGCCCUUACGAGUAGGGCUACACACGUGCUACAAUGGCGCAUACAAAGAGAAGCGACCUCGCGAGAGCAAGCGGACCUCAUAAAGUGCGUCGUAGUCCGGAUUGGAGUCUGCAACUCGACUCCAUGAAGUCGGAAUCGCUAGUAAUCGUAGAUCAGAAUGCUACGGUGAAUACGUUCCCGGGCCUUGUACACACCGCCCGUCACACCAUGGGAGUGGGUUGCAAAAGAAGUAGGUAGCUUAACCUUCGGGAGGGCGCUUACCACUUUGUGAUUCAUGACUGGGGUGAAGUCGUAACAAGGUAACCGUAGGGGAACCUGCGGUUGGAUCACCU